rnacentral:rRNA from 1 species
AUGGGCGCAAGCCUGAUGCAGCCAUGCCGCGUGUGUGAAGAAGGCCUUCGGGUUGUAAAGCACUUUCAGUAGGGAGGAAGGUGGAGUCGUUAAUAGCGGCCUCAUUUGACGUUAGCUACAGAAGAAGCACCGGCUAACUCCGUGCCAGCAGCCGCGGUAAUACGGAGGGUGCGAGCGUUAAUCGGAAUUACUGGGCGUAAAGCGCAUGCAGGUGGUUUGUUAAGUCAGAUGUGAAAGCCCGGGGCUCAACCUCGGAGUUGCAUUUGAAACUGGCAAACUAGAGUACUGUAGAGGGGGGUAGAAUUUCAGGUGUAGCGGUGAAAUGCGUAGAGAUCUGAAGGAAUACCGGUGGCGAAGGCGGCCCCCUGGACAGAUACUGACACUCAGAUGCGAAAGCGUGGGGAGCAAACAGGAUUAGAUACCCUGGUAGUCCACGCCGUAAACGAUGUCUACUUGGAGGUUGUGGCCUUGAGCCGUGGCUUUCGGAGCUAACGCGUUAAGUAGACCGCCUGGGGAGUACGGUCGCAAGAUUAAAACUCAAAUGAAUUGACGGGGGCCCGCACAAGCGGUGGAGCAUGUGGUUUAAUUCGAUGCAACGCGAAGAACCUUACCUACUCUUGACAUCCAGAAAAUCUGCGGAGACGCGGGAGUGCCUUCGGGAAUUCUGAGACAGGUGCUGCAUGGCUGUCGUCAGCUCGUGUUGUGAAAUGUUGGGUUAAGUCCCGCAACGAGCGCAACCCUUAUCCUUGUUUGCCAGCACUUCGGGUGGGAACUCCAGGAGACUGCCGGUGAUAAACCGGAGGAAGGUGGGGACGACGUCAAGUCAUCAUGGCCCUUACGAGUAGGGCUACACACGUGCUACAAUGGCGCAUACAGAGGGCGGCCAACUUGCGAAAGUGAGCGAAUCUCAAAAAGUGCGUCGUAGUCCGGAUUGGAGUCUGCAACUCGACUCCAUGAAGUCGGAAUCGCUAGUAAUCGUGGAUCAGAAUGCUACGGUGAAUACGUUCCCGGGCCUUGUACACACCGCCCGUCACACCAUGGGAGUGG